rnacentral:tRNA from 1 species
GCGGGCAUGGUGUAACGGUAGCACAAAAGCCUUCCAAGCUUUUAGAGAGGGUUCGAGUCCCUUUGCCCGCUCAA